GACGAACGCUGGCGGCGUGCUUAACACAUGCAAGUCGAACGGUGAAGCGCCUUCCUUUUUGGUGGGUGUGGAUGAGUGGCGAACGGGUGAGUAACACGUGAGUAACCUGCCCCCUUCUUCUGGAUAACCGCAUGAAAGUGUGGCUAAUCCGGGAUAUUCUGGGUCUGUCGCAUGAUGGGUCUGGGAAAGAUAUUGUUUCGGUGGGGGCUGGGCUCGCGGCCUAUCAGCUUGUUGGUGGGGUGAUGGCCUACCAAGGCUGUGACGGGUAGCCGGCCUGGGAGGGUGGACGGGCAGACUGGGACUGAGACACGGCCCAGACGGGUACGAGAGGCAGCAGUGGGGAAUAGUGGACAAUGGGCGGAGGAAUGAUGCAGCGUCGCCGCGUGAGGGAUGGAGGCCUGCGGGUUGUGAACCUCUGUCGCCAGUGAAGCAGGGCUGCCUCGUCUGGGGGGGGGUUGACGGUAGCUGGAGAAGAAGCGCCGGCUAACUACGUG
rnacentral:rRNA from 1 species